GUCCCUGUAGCGCAAUGGAUAGUGCAUUGGACUUCUAAUCCAAAGGUUGUGGGUUCGAAUCCCACCUGGGAUG
rnacentral:tRNA from 1 species